UUGACAGUGGUCAUGGAGAAGCUGAAGGCCUUGCAAAGUAAGAUGAAGAGAUAACACCAGGACAAGCUGUAACAAUAAUCAUAUGAUCAACUUCCCUAUGCAAAUUAGUGUUAAUGCUUUUCUCAAGCAUCUGCGUCUCUGUGCCUCUGUAACACGAUGAUGUCGCCGUGAAGAGCUGGAUGUGCAGAGUAAUGUUCUUUAGAGGAACCGCUUUGUCUGAUUAACACUUUUGAUGUGAAUGCCAGUCAGUUCCAGAAGCUUAAGCAUUUAAGCUUGUACUGUUAUACAGAACAAGACAAGCAAUACAGACCGUUAUUGGCUCUUUUCUCUGCCAAAUACAACUCAAAAGAAAUAUCAGGAGACUUUGAUUGAAUCUCUUAAUCUUCCAGAUACAAAAUCAGGAGUGGGGAGAACAAGCUCUUAAUAAUAGCUGGAGCUGUGUUGUCAAAUCAUGUGCUGAAUUCAUUCACC